rnacentral:rRNA from 1 species
UAAGCCUGUGAAGGUGGCCUGUGAGGGUUGCUGGAGGUAUCAGAAGUGCGAAUGCUGACAUAAGUAACGAUAAAGCGGGUGAAAAGCCCGCUCGCCGGAAGACCAAGGGUUCCUGUCCAACGUUAAUCGGGGCAGGGUGAGUCGACCCCUAAGGCGAGGCCGAAAGGCGUAGUCGAUGGGAAACGGGUUAAUAUUCCCGUACUUGGUGUUACUGCGAAGGGGGGACGGAGAAGGCUAUGUUGGCCGGGCGACGGUUGUCCCGGUUUAAGCGUGUAGGUGUGUGUUCCAGGUAAAUCCGGUUCACUUUAACACUGAGGCGUGAUGACGAGGUACUACGGUGCUGAAGCAACAAAUGCCCUGCUUCCAGGAAAAGCCUCUAAGCAUCAGGUAACAUCAAAUCGUACCCCAAACCGACACAGGUGGUCAGGUAGAGAAUACCAAGGCGCUUGAGAGAACUCGGGUGAAGGAACUAGGCAAAAUGGUGCCGUAACUUCGGGAGAAGGCACGCUGACA